CCUACGGGAGGCUGCAGUGAGGAAUUUUGGUCAAUGGACGAGAGUCUGAACCAGCCAAGUAGCGUGAAGGAUGACUGCCCUCUGGGUUGUAAACUUCUUUUAUAAAGGAAUAAAACGAGGCACGUGUGCCUUUUUGCAUGUACUUUAUGAAUCAGGAUCGGCUAACUCCGUGCCAGCAGACGAGGUAAUACGGAGGAUCCGAGCGUUAUCCGGAUUUAUUGGGUUUAAAGGGUGCGGAGGCGGGUUGUUAAGUCAGCGGUAAAAUGUCCGGGCUCAACCCGGGCCGGCCGUUGAAACUGGGGAGCUUGAGUGGGCGAGAAGGAUGCGGAAGGCGUGGUGUAGCGGUGAAAUGCAUAGAUAUCACGCAGAACUCCGAUUGCGAAGGCAGCAUACCGGCGCCCGACUGACGCUGAGGCACGAAAGCGUGGGGAUCGAACAGGAUUAGAUACCCGAGUAGUC
rnacentral:rRNA from 1 species